rnacentral:rRNA from 1 species
CAUGAAGCUGGAAUCGCUAGUAAUCGCAGAUCAGAAUGCUGCGGUGAAUACGUUCCCGGGUCUUGUACACACCGCCCGUCACACCAUGGGAGCCGGGAAUGCCCGAAGUCGGUGACCCAACCUUUAAGGAGAGAGCCGUCGAAGGCAGGUCUGAUAACUGGGGUGAAGUCGUAACAAGGUACC